GCCCCUUUAGUCCAAUCAAGAUGAGGGCUUUUCAAGCCCUAGAACUAAGUUAAAACCUUAGAAGGAGCA
rnacentral:tRNA from 1 species